GAUGAACGCUAGCGGCAGGCUUAAUACAUGCAAGUCGAGGGGCAGCACGGGUAGCAAUACCUGGUGGCGACCGGCAAACGGGUGCGGAACACGUACGCAACCUUCCCAUAACUGGUGAAUAGCCCUCCGGAAAGGAGGAUUAAUACACCGUAACUUAACGAAGUGGCAUUCACUUUUGUUAAUAUAGGCUUCGGCCGGUUUUGGAUGGGCGUGCGCCUGAUUAGGUAGUUGGCGGGGUAACGGCCCACCAAGCCUGCGAUCAGUAACUGGUGUGAGAGCACGACCAGUCACACGGGCACUGAGACACGGGCCCGACUCCUACGGGAGGCAGCAGUAAGGAAUAUUGGUCAAUGGACGAAAGUCUGAA
rnacentral:rRNA from 1 species